rnacentral:rRNA from 1 species
AUACGUAGGGGGCGAGCGUUGUCCGGAAUUACUGGGCGUAAAGGGUGCGUAGGCGGCUAAUUAAGUUGGAUGUGAAAUACCCGGGCUUAACUUGGGGGGUGCAUUCAAAACUGGUUAGCUAGAGUUCAGGAGAGGGAAGCGGAAUUCCUAGUGUAGCGGUGAAAUGCGUAGAUAUUAGGAGGAACACCAGUGGCGAAGGCGGCUUACUGGUCCAUUACUGACGCUGAGGUGCGAAAGCGUGGGGAGC